GUUCGUUCAUUGUGCAAUGGUCUCGGAGCUGCAACGGAACGGGCCACGGACAACCGUCCAUCGAUUGCUCAUACUCGAGAUAAAAGAUGAACGCAUUUGCAUAUAGAUUGAGUUCGUCCGUUUCCCGAGACGUCUUUUUUCGCUUCUUGUUCCGGAUGAUGCCGGGACUACUACUGAAUCAGCUGGAACGCUCUGCAUUCGGGGAACGGGCUACGAUACGCGCUGGACGUGAAUGAUUGAGGUCAUUGUCAUUUAGAAAUUGUAAGUCACGAAAACAAUUUGGUCUUUAGAGGGUUAACGUUAACUCUGUAUAGAGGUGUCAUUGUGCCCUUCAUAUUUUUGGUGGAAAGUGUAAAGGCAAUUUGUCUGCAUAAGUACUUACUACAAUACUAUAUUUGAAUUCAUAGAUUUCAAUGGAAUUUGUUUGAAUGUUAUGUGAAAUGGGUCAUAGGUGAUAGAAACAUUUCUAGGAAAACUUUGGGAAUUUUCCAUUUGUCGCCGGGAAUUUGCUUCGUUUUAUUAGUGGUUAAUGAUACCAAGAAUCACAAAUAAAUUACCUUGCUAACAAUAUAAUAAGCUGAACUAUGUAAAUAGUAGAUACGAUAGUUAUUUUAACGAUUGAUAAUCACAGCUCGUAACUUUGUAUUCUAAUACCAUAGAACCUGUAUACGGCAUCAGGUUUUUCUCUGAAACUGCGAAUUUCUGUACACACCGUUCACAGCCACGAAGACAAAUCCUCUAUAAAUAUAUCGACAGGAAUCUGGAACUAGUGAAUCCAUUUAACAAGGAAUUUCCAGGUUACUUUUCAGAAGAGCUGUAAAGUUUGGAAAAACUUCUGAGGUUUCCCUUGAGAUCCCAGUUAUUAUGGGGGUACGCUCGAAUAGAUAAUCUCGAGGUGUUCUUAUCUAACGCAGGCAAUUUCAUUACGAGAAAAAUGACGGAUAGAAAAGUUUCAGCCGAAGAUUACCGUAAUGCGAGCGCACGAUUUUAGUGUUUUCCCAAGACGCCGCUUUGCAUUCAAAUAUGCAAUAACGAAAUGGCCCUCCGUUCCGCGCAUUUCCCCGUUGACAUAAUCGAACGAUUCAGGCAAGUUUAUACGGCGAGGCAAGCGUUUAAUACGACGUCAUUCCGGACAAGCACAAUGAAUUUUAUGAUCUUA